UACAGAGGGGGCAAGCGUUGUUCGGAAUUACUGGGCGUAAAGGGCGCGUAGGCGGCCUGCUAAGUCGAACGUGAAAUCCCUGGGCUCAACCCAGGAACUGCGUCCGAUACUGGUUGGCUUGAAUCCGGGAGAGGGACGUGGAAUUCCAGGUGUAGCGGUGAAAUGCGUAGAUAUCUGGAGGAACACCGGUGGCGAAGGCGGCAUCCUGGACCGGUAUUGACACUGAGGCGCGAAAGCCAGGGGAGCAAACGGG
rnacentral:rRNA from 1 species